UACGGAGGGGGUUAGCGCUGUUCGGAAUUACUGGGCGUAAAGCGCGCGUAGGCGGACCAGAAAGUUGGGGGUGAAAUCCCGGGGCUCAACCCCGGAACGGCCUCCAAAACUCCUGGUCUUGAGUUCGAGAGAGGUGAGUGGAAUUCCGAGUGUAGAGGUGAAAUUCGUAGAUAUUCGGAGGAACACCAGUGGCGAAGGCGGCUCACUGGCUCGAUACUGACGCUGAGGUGCGAAAGUGUGGGGAGCAAACAGC
rnacentral:rRNA from 1 species